AACCCCUCAAGCACUGCUUGGUGUUGGGCGUUUGUCUGCGUAACUUGCGUGGACUCGCCCCAAAAGAAUUGGCAGCGGCUUGCCGGCCUCUUGCGCAGCACUUUGCGCUCCUUGAGGAUCCGGUGGGCUUGCGUCCAUCAAGAUCACCCCCA
rnacentral:misc_RNA from 1 species